rnacentral:rRNA from 1 species
AGUAACGCGUGGGUAACCUGCCUUGUACUGGGGGACGAACAGUUGGAAACGAACUGCUAAUAACCGCAUAAGCGCACAGCUUCGCAUGAAGCAGUGUGAAAAAACUCCGGUGGUACAAGAUGGACCCGCGUCUGAUUAGCUGGUUGGUGAGGUAACGGCCCACCAAGGCGACGAUCAGUAGCCGGCCUGAGAGGGUGAACGGCCACAUUGGGACUGAGACACGGCCCAGACUCCUACGGGAGGCAGCAUG